AUUGAACGCUGGCGGCAGGCCUAACACAUGCAAGUCGAACGGUAACAGGAAGCAGCUUGCUGUUUCGCUGACGAGUGGCGGACGGGUGAGUAAUGUCUGGGAAACUGCCUGAUGGAGGGGGAUAACUACUGGAAACGGUAGCUAAUACCGCAUAACGUCGCAAGACCAAAGAGGGGGACCUUCGGGCCUCUUGCCAUCGGAUGUGCCCAGAUGGGAUUAGCUAGUAGGUGGGGUAACGGCUCACCUAGGCGACGAUCCCUAGCUGGUCUGAGAGGAUGACCAGCCACACUGGAACUGAGACACGGUCCAGACUCCUACGGGAGGCAGCAGUGGGGAAUAUUGCACAAUGGGCGCAAGCCUGAUGCAGCCAUGCCGCGUGUAUGAAGAAGGCCUUCGGGUUGUAAAGUACUUUCAGCGGGGAGGAA
rnacentral:rRNA from 1 species